ensembl:lncRNA
GCUUUUCCAAGAGAUACUCGUGCAGCCCAGCCUGGAGGCGGCCAGCCCGCCGAGGUGAGUCAGGAGGUCGCCAUCUUCUCCGUGAGUUUCACUUGUUCACCCAGGAAGUCAGGAAGUGGAACUCCAGGAAGUCACAGAGAUCCGGGUCUGCGCGGGCAGAACCCGGAGUAUGCAGACCCAAACGGGCGUGGUUCAGGUUCUUCUCCAGAACCAGCGUGGCUUCCAUGGCGUCCGGGGUUUUACCCACUCAUCUUCCCGUGGCUUCUGCACGUCCUGGAGGAGGGCGUCGCCGCCGCGCUGGUUUUGCCUUUUCAAGAGACGCUCAGCACAGCACCCUCGCGCUUCUCAGCCAACCGGCGGCCGAAGAAGUGGCUCACGCCCUCCGGCUCAACGCCGUCCUGGUUGAAACAGAAGCCGAGAGAGAGGAUGCUUUCAUUACAGGGGCUUCCAAGUUCAGGUACAGAACAAUGUAAAAUGCAUAACUUCAGCUGCAGCCGUUAUUCCAGAGUUCUGAAGAGCAGCCAGCAGAAAUUGGUCAAGAGUCCAUUUGGCCCACACCCUCCACCCGUCUACCACAGAGGCGGACUGCUCAUAGAACACAUCACAGAAUGCUUUAAAUGUUCUGCCAGUUUUCAGCUCUCACAAAGCAAGAUCAUGAAGACACACAUGAGCAAAGACAUGUCAAAGUGCUUUGAAACAUACUUUCUCUACAGAAUCGAAUUGCAUUCCUGUUGUGAGAGGAAAUGGAAAACAUGA